rnacentral:misc_RNA from 1 species
AACGCACCUUGCGCUCCUUGGUAUUCCGAGGAGCAUGCCUGUUUGAGUGUCAUUAAAUUCUCAACCCUUUCAGCUUUUGUGAGCUGCAAUAGGGCUUGGAUAUUGGGAGUUUGCGGGCCUAUAGAAGGUCGGCUCUCCUGAAAUGCAUUAGCGGAACCGUUUGCAGUCCCGUCACUGGUGUGAUAAUUAUCUACACUGUGAUGACUGCUCUCUAGUUUGUUCAGCUGCUAAUCGUCCAUUACUGGACAACUCUUAAUGAACCUCUUGACCUCAAAUCAGGUAGGACUACCCGCUGAACUUAA